GUGAGGAAUAUUGGUCAAUGGACGGAAGUCUGAACCAGCCAUGCCGCGUGCAGGAAUAAGGUCCUAUGGAUUGUAAACUGCUUUUAUUCGGGAAUAAACCUCUUUACGUGUAGGGAGCUGAAGGUACCGAAGGAAUAAGCACCGGCUAACUCCGUGCCAGCAGCCGCGGUAAUACGGAGGGUGCAAGCGUUAUCCGGAAUCAUUGGGUUUAAAGGGUCCGCAGGCGGGCUAUCAAGUCAGAGGUGAAAUCCCACAGCUUAACUGUGGAACUGCCUUUGAAACUGAUGGUCUUGAAUUAAGUGGGCGUUGGCGGAAUAUGACAUGUAGCGGUGAAAUGCAUAGAUAUGUCAUGGAACACCGAAAGCGAAGGCAGCUAACGAUACUUAUAAUGACGCUCAUGGACGAAAGCGUGGGUAGCGAACAGGAUUAGAAACCCGGGUAGUCC
rnacentral:rRNA from 1 species